rnacentral:rRNA from 1 species
UACGUAGGGGGCAAGCGUUGUCCGGAGUACUGGGCGUAAAGCGCACGCAGGCGGUCUCUUAAGUUUUGGAGUGACAGUUGGUGGCUUAACUGCCAAAGUGCUUCGAAAACUGAGAGACUUGAGGGCUUCAGAGGGACACGGAAUUCCGGGUGGAGUGGUGAAAUGCGUAGAUAUCGUUUGGAACGCCAAUGGUGAAAACGGUCGCUGGGGAUGAGCUGACGCUGGAGACACGAAAGCCAGGGGAGCAAACGGG